rnacentral:tRNA from 1 species
GGCCUGGUGACGAUUUUUGGUUUUGUAUUUGACUACGAAUCAAAGGGUCGGGGGUUCGAGUCCCUCCUGGGUCACCA